UCCUGAUCGCGUAGCUCAGUUGGAAGAGCAUUGGGCUGGUAUUCCAAAGGUCAUAGGUUCGAAUCCCACCGUGGCCGGGCAUAUUUUUCAAGCUUGUCCGGUGUGGAUACACACUCAGAGUAACAUCACAAAUAUCAUAUUCACCUGAGUACACAACACCAACACAGAAAAUAUAAUAUAUCACUUGCUCGAAACGACUUCAAAUGCCGAAGUUGACGAGCGCAACUCGCUUCGCCCGUUCGAUGUGCUGUCAUUGUCAUUGAAUUACAGAAUUUAG
rnacentral:tRNA from 1 species